CCUACGGGUGGCAGCAGUGAGGAAUAUUGGACAAUGGACGAGAGUCUGAACCAGCCAAGUAGCGUGAAGGAUGAAUGCCCUAUGGGUUGUAAACUUCUUUUAUAAAGGAAUAAAACGAGGCACGUGUGCCUUUUUCCAUGUACUUUAUGAAUACGGAUCGGCUAACUCCGUGACAGCAGCCGCGGUAAUACGGAGGAUCAGAGCGUUAUCCGGAUUUAUUGGGUUUAAAGGGAGCGUAGAUGGGUUGUUAAGUCCGUUGUGAAAGUUUGCGGCUCAACCGUAAGAUUGCAAUUGAUACUGGCAGUCUUGAGUACAGUUGAGGUAGGCGGAAUUCGUGGUGUAGCGGUGAAAUGCGUAGAUAUCACGAAGAACCCCGAUGGCGAAGGCAGCUUACUAAACUGUGACUGACAUUGAUGCUCGAAAGUGUGGGUAUCAAACAGGAUUAGAUACCCCAGUAGUC
rnacentral:rRNA from 1 species